GGGCGUAAAGAGCUCGUAGGUGGUUUGAUACGUCGGAUGUGAAAAUCAGGUGCUCAACCCCUGACCUGCAUUCGAUACGGUCAAGCUAGAGUGUGGUAGGGGAGACUGGAAUUCCUGGUGUAGCGGUGGAAUGCGCAGAUAUCAGGAGGAACACCGAUGGCGAAGGCAGGUCUCUGGGCCAUUACUGACACUGAGGAGCGAAAGCGUGGGGAGCGAACAGGAUUAGAUACCCUGGUAGUCCACGCCGUAAACGGUGGGCGCUAGUUGUGCGAACCUUCCACGGUUUGUGCGACGCAGCUAACGCAUUAAGCGCCCCGCCUGGGGAGUACGAUCGCAAGAUUACAACUCAAAGGAAUUGACGGGGCCCCGCACAAGCAGCGGAGCAUGCGGCUUAAUUCGACGCAACGCGAAGAACCUUACCAAGGCUUGACAUAUACCGGAAUACGGCAGAGAUGUCGUAGCCGCAAGGUCGUGAUACAUGGUGGUGCAUGGUUGUCGUCAGCUCGUGUCGUGAGAUGUUUGGGUUAAGUCCCGCAACGAGCGCAACCCUCGUUCUGUGUUGCCAGCAUUUAGUUGGGGACUCACAGGAGACUGCCGGGGUUAACUCGGAGGAAGGUGGGGAUGACGUCAAAUCAUCAUGCCCCUUAUGUCUUGGGCUGCACGCAUGCUACAAUGGCUGGUACAAACGGCUGCAAUACCGCAAGGUGGAGCGAAUCCGAGAAAGCCAGUCUCAGUUCGGACUUGGGGUCUGCAACUCGACCCCAUGAAGUCGGAGUUGCUAGUAAUC
rnacentral:rRNA from 1 species